UUCGUUGUCAAUGUUCUUCGCUGGUAUCUUCUGCUUUCUGCCUCCCUUGACUUGACUUGUCCUGCGUUAAAUUGUUAUAAGACGCUCAAACCAAUGGAGGAAAUCUAUGCAAAUGAUGAUUUUGUCUGCAACAUUUCAGUGGUAAAGGACAGAGUUCCUAUCAGCUCUAAGAAGAGGCUCUAUGUGGGUGUUAUUGUCUCUUUGGGGAUCCUGAGUGUUGGCCUCCUUAUUGGACUCAUCAGGCUCGGUUUCCACUCUCACAGAUUAUCCAUCUCAGCAGCAGAUCUCUCUGAUAUGAAAGACAAUCUGACUAAGGAAAGAGACCAACUGAAUGUAAAACUCUUGGAAAGGUCU